rnacentral:tRNA from 1 species
GGGCCCGUAGCUCAGCGGUAGAGCGCCCGGCUGUUAACCGGAAGGUCGUGGGUUCGAAUCCCACCGGGCCCG